GAUGAAGAACGCAGCGAAAUGCGAUAAGUAAUGCGAAUUGCAGAAUUUCCGUGAGUCAUCGAAUCUUUGAACGCACACUGCGCCCGCCAGCACUCUGGCGGGCAUGCCUGUUCGAGCGUCAUUUCAACCAUCAAGCCCCCAGGGGCUUGUGCUGGGGCCAUGCGGCUGCCCGCAGGCCCUGAAAACCAGUGGCGGGCUCGCUAGUCACACCGAGCGCAGUAGCACAUCUCGCUCAGGGCGUGCGGCGGGCUCCUGCCGUGAAACCCCCCACUGUAACCCCAAAGGUUGACCUCGGAUCAGGUAGGAAUACCCGCUGAACUUAAGCAUAUCAAUAAGCGGAGGA
rnacentral:misc_RNA from 1 species